rnacentral:rRNA from 1 species
AGAGUUUGAUCAUGGCUCAGGAUGAACGCUAGCGGCAGGCUUAAUACAUGCAAGUCGUGGGGCAGCAGGGGUAGCAAUACCCGCUGGCGACCGGCAAACGGGUGCGGAACACGUACGCAACCUUCCUUCAAGUGGGGAAUAGCCCAGGGAAACUUGGAUUAAUACCCCGUAAUAUUAUGAGGUGGCAUCAUCUUAUAAUUAUAGCUACGGCGCUUGGAGAUGGGCGUGCGGCUGAUUAGGUAGUUGGCGGGGUAACGGCCCACCAAGCCAACGAUCAGUAACUGGUGUGAGAGCACGACCAGUCACACGGGCACUGAGACACGGGCCCGACUCCUACGGGAGGCAGCAGUAAGGAAUAUUGGUCAAUGGACGCAAGUCUGAACCAGCCAUGCCGCGUGGAGGAUGAAGGCCCUCUGGGUUGUAAACUUCUUUUAUUUGGGAAGAAACCCAUUUUUUCUAAGAUGGUUGACGGUACCAGAUGAAUAAGCACCGGCUAACUCCGUGCCAGCAGCCGCGGUAAUACGGAGGGUGCAAGCGUUAUCCGGAUUCACUGGGUUUAAAGGGUGCGUAGGUGGGCAGGUAAGUCAGUGGUGAAAUCUCUGGGCUUAACCCGGAAACUGCCGUUGAUACUAUCUGUCUUGAAUAUCGUGGAGGUGAGCGGAAUAUGUCAUGUAGCGGUGAAAUGCUUAGAUAUGACAUAGAACACCAAUUGCGAAGGCAGCUCGCUACACGGUUAUUGACACUGAGGCACGAAAGCGUGGGGAUCAAACAGGAUUAGAUACCCUAGUAGUCC